rnacentral:rRNA from 1 species
GCCUACGGGGCGCAGCAGUAGGGAAUCUUCCAUAAUGGACGAAAGUCUGAUGGAGCAACGCCGCGUGAGUGAAGAAGGGUUUCGGCUCGUAAAGCUCUGUUGGGAGUGAAGAAAGAUAGAGGGAGUAACUGGCCUUUAUUUGACGGUAAUUACUUAGAAAGUCACGGCUAACUACGUGCCAGCAGCCGCGGUAAUACGUAGGUGGCAAGCGUUGUCCGGGUUUAUUGGGCGUAAAGCGAGUGCAGGCGGUUCCAUAAGUCUGAUGUGAAAGCCUUCGGCUCAACCGGAGAAUUGCAUCAGAAAAU